AUUGAACGCUGGCGGCAAGCCUAACACAUGCAAGUCGAACGAGUGGCGGACGGGUGAGUAAUGUCUGGGAAACUGCCCGAUGGAGGGGGAUAACUACUGGAAACGGUGGCUAAUACCGCAUACCAUCGGAUGUGCCCAUAUGGGAUUAGCUAGUAGGUAGGGUAAUGGCUUACCUAGGCGACGAUACAUAGCCGACCUGAGAGGAUGACCAGCCACACUGGAAUUGAGACACGGUCCAGACUCCUACGGGAGGCAGCAGUGGGGAAUAUUGCACAAUGGGCGCAAGCCUGAUGCAGCCAUGCCGCGUGUAUGAAGAAGGCCUUCGGGUUGUAAAGUACUUUCAGCGGGGAGGCGUUACCCGCAGAAGAAGCACCGGCUAACUCCGUGCCAGCAGCCGCGGUAAUAC
rnacentral:rRNA from 1 species